ACAGAGGUGGCGAGCGUUGUUCGGAUUUACUGGGCGUAAAGGGCGCGUAGGCUGUUGCGUUUGUCGAGUGUGAAAUCCCUGGGCUCAACCCGGGAAGUGCGCUCGAAACUGCGUGACUUGAGCAGAGGAGGGGAGAGCGGAAUUCAUGGUGUAGCGGUGAAAUGCGUUGAUAUCAUGAGGAACACCGGUGGCGAAGGCGGCUCUCUGGAAUCUUGCUGACGCUGAGGCGCGAAAGUCGGGGGAGCAAACAG
rnacentral:rRNA from 1 species